UUUUUAUUUUUAUACAUUUCCUGGAUAAUAUAGGAAAAAAAAUAAUUUUUUUUAUACGCCUUUUUAAUAUUGGUAACGCGAUAAGUCGAUUAAAAAUUGACGUUAUUACUCAAAACACCGCGGUCUCGCGAAACUUAGAAAAGAAUAGUUUAUUAAUAAAUAAUAAUUAAAUAAGUAAUAUAAAAAAUAAAAAUAAGGUUAAAGAUAAAAGUAAAAACUUAUAACAAAAGUAACUAAAGAAUUCAAAGUGCCUUGAUUAUUAUAAUACAUAAGUGAAUAUUAAGGAGUCGCUUGAAUAAUCAUUGAGUGGACUCUUUCAGUUAUUGCCAAGUUGAUAAAACGUACUUUUUAAAAAAACUAACUUUUGCGUGAUAUGACAUGAAAUCAUAUAGGUAUAAUAAAAUAUAAUCAAGUUGCCAAGUUGCGGGAAAAGCGCCUAGCCGGCAAGUAUAAGUUGUAAACAGUGAUAUUAUAUUAGACUAAUCGAUUGUCCGUAUAGUAUAAACCUUUCAUAUUAAUCAUUAUUACUACUUAUAUAUUCUAUGUUAUUUUGUGUAAUACUUGGAGGCAAGUCGUGCCUUUAUACUCUACAUCUAUCGGUUUUAUUAAUUUAUUUUUCUUUUAAUUUCGUCUAUAUAACAGUACUCAAUUAAAUAAACAAAUAUUCAAAAUGUUUAUCAACUAAACUCUUACAAUUAUUAAAAAAAAAAACAAUUUUUUAAGUUUCUUUUUUAUUAAAAAAUUUUUUUUUCAGUGGAUCAAGGUAAGAUUUAGAUCACCAACAGCGUUCAUUGUCUAAAGCUUUGCCGACAGAACUUUAUUUAAAUACUUGGUAGGAUAAUUUUGUUUUCAGAUAUCACUAAAAGACAGGAAUAUAAAAUGAUAAUAACAGUUGAAGAGUUGUUGAAAAAUAUAAAAAAAAAAAAGCGGAAGGCCUGUAAUUGUUAAAUUGCCAGAUCGAUUAUAAUUGAGUAAACUACAACAGACAGAUGUUCCCGUUGGGAAGUUUAUCCACGCGCCUGCGUCUAUGUCCAUAUUAUACGUUAAAUAAAGACCCGACGGAAGAAGAAUGAUCGAUAGUACAUUUUCGCGGGCUCUUUGUAUACAACCUGGAUGACCAACUUAGAUGUACAACCAAACGAUUUUUUGUAACGAAACUGACGACCAUAUCACCGGAGCAGUGCAACAUCGACGGAAUAAAGGUACUGUGCGAAGGUUCGAGCCACGAAUUGGUGCUAACAGACCAGACUCUUCACGUGACUAAAGACGAGAAUCUAGAAGAGGGAAU